rnacentral:rRNA from 1 species
GGAGUUAGCCGGUGCUUCUUCUGUGAGUGAUGUCCUUCCUGCCGGUUAUUGACCCGCAGGCCUUCUUCCUCACUGAAAGUGCUUUACAACCCGAAGGCCUUCUUCACACACGCGGCAUGGCUGGAUCAGGGUUGCCCCCAUUGUCCAAUAUUCCCCACUGCUGCCUCCCGUAGGAGUCUGGGCCGUGUCUCAGUCCCAGUGUGGCUGAUCAUCCUCUCAGACCAGCUACGGAUCGUCGCCUUGGUGAGCCGUUACCUCACCAACCAGCUAAUCCGACAUAGGCUCAUCCGAUAGCGCGAGGCCCGAAGGUCCCCCGCUUUCCCCCGUAGGGCGUAUGCGGUAUUAGCCUGGGUUUCCCCAGGUUAUCCCCCACUACCGGGCAGAUUCCUAUGCAUUACUCACCCGUCCGCCGCUCGCCACCAGGGAGCAAGCUCCCCGUGCUGCCGCUCGACUUGCAUGUGUUAGGCCUGCCGCCAGCGUUCAAUCUGAGCCAGAAUCGAAACCUCGACUACGAGACGGCGGUCGCGACGACGGCGACUAG